CAAUGCCGCGUGAGUGAUGAAGGCCUUAGGGUUGUAAAGCUCUUUUGCCAGGGACGAUGAUGACGGUACCUGGAGAAUAAGCCCCGGCUAACUUCGUGCCAGCAGCCGCGGUAAUACGAAGGGGGCGAGCGUUGUUCGGAAUUACUGGGCGUAAAGGGCGCGUAGGCGGUUUGACAAGUCAGGCGUGAAAUUCCCGGGCUCAACCUGGGGGCUGCGCUUGAUACUGUUGAGCUUGAAUGCAGGAGAGGAUGGUGGAAUUCCCAGUGUAGAGGUGAAAUUCGUAGAUAUUGGGAAGAACACCGGUGGCGAAGGCGGCCAUCUGGCCUGUGAUUGACGCUGAGGCGCGAAAGCGUGGGGAGCAAACAGGAUUAGAUACCCUGGUAGUCCACGCCGUAAACGAUGAGUGCUAGACGUUGGCGAGCAUGCUCGUCAGUGUCGCAGCUAACGCAUUAAGCACUCCGCCUGGGGAGUACGGCCGCAAGGUUA
rnacentral:rRNA from 1 species